AUCGAUCCAAAGUUAGUAUAAAAGGCUUUCUGAUAGAAUACCGACAAAGGAAAUUAACUGGAAAUAUGUUUUCGUAUUUUAACUUUUCUUAAACCAGCAAUGGAUUUUAUGUCAUUCUACCAUGGAUUCUUACAGUCUUCUCCAAUUCCAGUGGAUUUCUGCCAGUAAUAUACAGCUCAGACCACAGGAGAGAGAUCCCGAGUAAGAGAUCUCCCUGAGGUGAGAAAGGAGCCAGGAGCCGUCUCACCUGUCGCCACCCCCCUCCGUUUCCCCAGCAGCAGCCCGCCUUGUCGCCCCCAUCGGAUCAAUGCCAGGGGGCCGUGCACAGUGGUGUUCGGGCAUGCGGCCUUCUCUAAUAGCUCCUCAGAAGUGAAUCAAAGGCCCGGCAAGCAUUGGGGAUCAAUAGCGGUGGCUGGGACUGAGCUCAGAGUAGUCGUCUGCCAUCCACCGCCCCCACCCCCACAAUCCCCCCUCAUCCCCCCCAUCCCCCCACCGGUUCCAACUGCCAGUAACUGCAGACAAGCAUGGAGGCAGGGAGGGAUGGGUGGAAUGGCAGCAUGCAGGUGUGGGGCUUCGGGUCACUGCUCAAACUGAUUUGUCUUUUUUUUUCUUUCUUUUUUUAAAAAUGCUGCUGGACAUUUUUUGGCCGGUUUUCAGUCGGCCGUGAUGGCUUUUGAAAUUGUUCGGAGCGAGUUCAGGAAGGCUGACCGUGGCACAUUUCCACCGCUUCAUCUCGAUCCCCGCUGGGCGGUACUGCGGGGAUCUGGCAGUCUGUGAAAAAGCGGGCGAAGAUAGUUUAAUUAAAACAGUGGAUUUGUUCAACCGUUUAUUUUUUCCCCGGUAAUGUGGCAUCCUGCAAAGCGGCCGACAUUGCACAUAUGCCUUUAAUCAUACUUUUUUUGUGAUCAAAUGUCUUUUUUAUUGUGGAACACCCAUGUGAUUAAUACAACAACAGAAAAUCAGUAUAACUUCUUGGAUUCAAACAAUAUGUUUUGUACCCCCCAGCUCAACCCCCCCCCCUCCUUUUUCUCUGACCCAAUUUCUUUUCGUAUCACCACAUCACCACAAGGAUCUUAUAAGGGACAACAUAAAAUGCAAAGGACAGACAUGCACUGCACACAGACUAAUGUAUUGAUUCCUUUAGGGUUUCCACCGCAUAGGGCCACUGGCUCAAUGUGUCUUCUUCAGCUCUGUUGAUGUGCACUGUAGAUAUUUCCAAGUAAAUUGCAUCUAAAGAAUAUGAGGAACCAUGUGUAUAAACUGUGUGGCGAUUUCCAACGAAAUGUGCCAAUUUUCAUUUUCUUUGAGCGUAUUUUUUUUCUGAAAGUGUAAAAUAUUUUGUGCAAACCUUCAGAUGUCACUGUUGUGAAUGAAUGCAAUUAUGCAACUGGGCUUUGGAAACAAACAAUGAGUUUUUUCCUUUUAGGGCGAGUGGACGAAAUGGGCGUUGUUUUGAGAAUGGAUAGAACAUUGAGGCCCGUAUUUUUAAUUUGUCUGAGUGGAAGCACUGAUUAGAAUGUCAAGUAGAGACUGCUGGUUUGCUAUUUAACAUUUUCGCUGCAAAGAGUACAGUUGGUUUACUGGUGACUUUGCUUGCCAUCUAAGCUUUGAUGAGAAUGCAAGGUAUUGUGGGUAAUGACAUUUAGGAGCAUUGACAGAUCUUCACAUGUAGACCUUUCCACACCAGAAAAUAUGGAUAAAAUCUGCCCAAAGACAGCUGAUAUGGAAAAGUCAAUACAUAUUUUCUAUAAAACCAUCAUGAUGUUGUAAUCCCAGCAGGUGUACAGUGACAAAAGAUUAGCUCCACAAUUGGAAUAUUGACUUGUUCAUUGGAAAAAAAAAAGAAUCUGAUUCAGAAACAUAAUAUGGUUCAGAAGUGGUUUAUUUUGCAACUUAAUGCAUACAAUUUCAGCCACCGUGUGAAUACAAAGGGCUCUGUCACAGUGAUAGUUCUAUAAAUAUUUCUAUUUCUUAAAAAUGGUUAAUUCUGAAUUUCUGACUUUGGAACAAAAGAAGAAUACUACAAUAUCUGAUUCACAGUAUUACAUGGCAACUGUCCUUUUUUCAUUUCAUAUCGACUGUGAUUUUCUAAACCCUGCUGCUGUGAAAAUAAAUGUUAAUAAACUAUU